GACGAACGCUGGCGGCGUGCCUAAUACAUGCAAGUUGAGCGCUGAAGGUUGGUACUUGUACCAACUGGAUGAGCAGCGAACGGGUGAGUAACGCGUGGGGAAUCUGCCUUUGAGCGGGGGACAACAUUUGGAAACGAAUGCUAAUACCGCAUAAAAACUUUAAACACAAGUUUUAAGUGUGAAAGAUGCAAUUGCAUCACUCAAAGAUGAUCCCGCGUUGUAUUAGCUAGUUGGUGAGGUAAAGGCUCACCAAGGCGAUGAUACAUAGCCGACCUGAGAGGGUGCUCGGCCACAUUGGGACUGGGACACGGCCCAAACUCCUUCGGGAGGCAGCAGUAGGGAAUCUUCGGCAAUGGACGGAAGUCUGACCGAGCAACGCCGCGUGAGUGAAGAAGGUUUUCGGAUCGUAAAACUCUGUUGGUAGAGAAGAACGUUGGUGAGAGUGGAAAGCUCAUCAAGUGACGGUAACUACCCAGAAAGGGACGGCUAACUACGUG
rnacentral:rRNA from 1 species